rnacentral:rRNA from 1 species
UACAGAGGUCUCAAGCGUUGUUCGGAUUCAUUGGGCGUAAAGGGUGCGUAGGCGGGCGCGGUAAGUCGGAUGUGAAAUCUCGGAGCUUAACUCCGAAACUGCAUUCGAUACUGCCGUGCUUGAGGACUUGGAGAGGAGACUGGAAUUUACGGUGUAGCUGGUGAAAUGCGUAGAUAUCGUAAGGAAGACCAGUGGCGAAGG